UUUACAUCUUUACAAUGACUUUCC
rnacentral:piRNA from 1 species